rnacentral:rRNA from 1 species
CGGGACGGGUGAGUAAUGUCUGGGAAACUGCCUGAUGGAGGGGGAUAACUACUGGAAACGGUAGCUAAUGCCGCAUAACGUCGCAAGACCAAAGAGGGGGACCUUAGGGCCUCUUGCCAUCGGAUGUGCCCAGAUGGGAUUAGCUAGUAGGUGGGGUAACGGCUCACCUAGGCGACGAUCCCUAGCUGGUCUGAGAGGAUGACCAGCCACACUGGAACUGAGACACGGUCCAG